rnacentral:rRNA from 1 species
GACGAACGCUGGCGGCGUGCUUAACACAUGCAAGUCGAACGGAAAGGCGCUGCUUUUGUGGGGUGCUCGAGUGGCGAACGGGUGAGUAACACGUGAGUAACCUGCCCUUGACUUUGGGAUAACUUCAGGAAACUGGGGCUAAUACCGGAUAGGAGCUCCUGCUGCAUGGUGGGGGUUGGAAAGUUUCGGCUGGUGGGGAUGGACGGGCGGCUAAUGAGCUUGCUGGUGGGGGAGGGGCUGGCCAAGGCUGUGACGGGUAGCCGGCCUGUGAGGGUGGCCGGCGCCCAGGGGCCUACGGGAGGGCGCAGAGGGGAAUUGGGGGCAGUGGGCGGAAACCUUGUCCAGCGGGGGGGCGUGCGAUGAAGAAACCCUGCGGGUGGGAAGCGGGCUUUCGGGUUGUAAACCGCUUUCGCCUGUGACGAAGCGUGAGUGACGGUAACGGGUAAAUAAGCACCGGCUAACUACGUG